AACGGCCGCGGGUAUUUUGACCGUGCAAAGGUAGCAUAAUCAUUAGUUCUUUAAUAGGGGACUGGUAUGAAUGGCUUGACGAAUUAUUAACUGUCUCAUUUUUAUAUAUUAAAAUUUAAUUUUUGAGUUAAAAAGCUCAUAUUUUGCUGGAGGACGAGAAGACCCUAUAGAGCUUUAUAUAUUAUUUCUUUAUUUUGUUGGGGUUAAUUUUUUAUUAUAAAGUUAUAAUUUAUUUUGUUGGGGUGACAGUAUUAUAUAAGAAACUUUUUUAUUUUAUUUACAUUGAUUUAUGGUAUUUUGAUCCAUUAUUAUUGAUUAUUAGUUUAAGUUACCUUAGGGAUAACAGCGUAAUCUUCUUUUGAAGUUCUUAUUUACAAGAAGGCUUGCGACCUCGAUGUUGGAUUAAGAUUAUUAUUUGGUGCAGUGGCUAAGUAAAUAGGUCUGUUCGAC
rnacentral:rRNA from 1 species